CACAAAGAUCUUUGGUUGGGCAGGCGGCUGCAAGGCACGCCUGCGCACUGGCUCCCAGCUCAGGAUAAUCCACGGAAGGUCGCCGAGGUCCCUCGUCAAACAUUCGCAGGGGGAACUUUGCAAACAAAAGAUGGGUUCAGCAAACCAGCCAUCGUCGGAGAGAAGGGGCUAUUAAAAUCAGACGCUGCUGUCUGACAAAACAGCAAACACGAUUAAAAUAACUUCUAGGAAGUCAAUCCGCAGAGAUGCGGGACAUCAUCUACCGCAGUCCAGCAGGUUCGAUAGAACACCUUCCCGCUCGCAGGGACCGCUGGGAUUGGGCAUCGGCCAUUGACUCUCGGCCGGCACAUUACUGGAAGACUGGAAAAUUGAAAUGAAAAAAAACAGGACGUCAACAAUUUCACCGUCGGUGUUGCCAAUUUAUUUCCCCCAUGCAUUUUGAACUGGAGGACAUACUUGAACGAUUAAAACAAAAUACAUCUCUUUAAUAAUUCUGAAGGUCGCGCCACGAAAUGUCACUCACUCCUCUCCAGAGAUGCUGUCUGUUCUGCGGAGUUACUCUCUAGCAUUUUGUGUCUACUUUAAUACGGGGCGCUGCCCUAUCCCCGAUGAUGUUGGACGGCGGAUUAACAAAUGCACUAGUGAUCCCAGCGAUCAUAAGGAAUUGGGAAGCUGAGGGUCUUGUGAGAAUGGAAUGACAAUUAUCUGGUGAACCAGAUGCCAAACUAUCAGGUCUUCCAAAUAGCCAAAGCGCGCUGAGCCAUCUGGAUCACAAAUACAUCAGAAUUCUACGUGUUAACAAAUGUAUCUCCAUCCUAUGUGGGCCUCGGGAUGACCAGCUAUCACUCUAGCUCUGCAUUCUCAGGCGAGGCAGGUGCUGCUGGACAGGGCAGGUGAGUAAAUAUCUUAGGGCUGAAGAACAAAGGAGGAGAUCUUACAUAGGAUGGUGGGAGGGAGAGGUUCAAGGGAAGAGGAGGAAGUAAGGUCGCAGCAUUGACAAGAGGACCUAUGGCUAAACAUAACAGGAAUAAUAACUCCAAUGAAACACAAGUUGUUCCAACUUGGUACUCUGAAAUUCCCAUCUGGGAAUAUGUGGGAAGCACACUUUGUAUUUGCCUAAAUUAGACGUCAGGAGAGGAACAUUCUAAAUAAAACAAUAUCAUGUGAACUGGUGGACAGUAUUUCUUUUAAAUGUCAUGGUACAAACUUUGAUCCAUUUUGCCACAUGAACAUGUUCCUGAAAAAACUAUCAUAAAUAAUGUUCCACAUUAACAUGCCAAGUCUGGCUCUCAUUGUAUCCUGGUGCACUUAAACAAAUAUUAAAAUGAUAAUU